ACACAAAGGGCCAACUGUACUACUUAAGUUCUGUAUUUCAGGGUCCUGAAAGUUUUAUAUGCUGCAGCGAAUUCCUUGCGCAAACUUUUCUAAUCUUUAGGCACCAAACCCCAGAAGAAAAGGGAUUUCGAUUGUUUUAAACGCCGUCUUAAUUUUGCGGUAUUCAAAGGAACGAGUUGAGUAAAGUAAGGAAAAUGUUCCUGUGUCUCCAGGAUUGAGAGAUCAAAGACGCCGCACUUCAGCUUCCGCUUUGGCGUGCACAGGACAGAGAAAGAGCAAUGAAAGAAAGAAGAGAGAAACGAAGAGAGAGAGAGAAAGAGAGAGACAGAGAAAAGAAGAGAAAAGAGAAGAUGUUUUGCAAGAGAAGUUGUCAUACGAUAAUGGUGCCCAAUUUAGAUCGAGGUCCUCUGGCAUCACCUCUCAUCCUUGGCUGGAGAUGUAGCCAUGUAGGUAGCGUCAAGAACUGAAGCCCCAGAGCUCAGUCGGUCUCACCGACUGGCUGCGGCCACUUGCCAUCCGGUCCUGUGACUGAGAAGGAAAGGAGACUGCGUAGCUGGGGGUGCAAUGCGCAGCUGCAGCUACAAAGCCCGGCUUUCAUACUGUGUAACAGCUUCACCUCAACUGGCGUAGCGCACCUCAACACAUACUGCUCAAUAGCUUCAGGAGAGAACUAGCCUGUGUCCCAAGUAAGCCCUAGACGGUGGUGACCAGCACCGGGAAUAAGGCGACGGCAGGGACUGGAAAGGGUACACCUGGUGCGUGGGUCCCCGCGGUGCCAGCCACACGUGGCUUUCAUACCUAGCGCGCCCUCGGGGUCGCACUCUUCCCGCUGAGAUCAGGGCGCGCCCUCAGCCACUCUUCUCUACCCCUCUGGACAGGAACCCACC
rnacentral:lncRNA from 1 species